GCGCGUAAAUUGCCCGAAUCCUGACACAGGGAGGUAGUGACAAGAAAUAACAAUACAGGGCUAUCUUAGUCUUGUAAUUGGAAUGAGUACAAUUUACAUCUCUUCACGAGGAUCAAUUGGAGGGCAAGUCUGGUGCCAGCAGCCGCGGUAAUUCCAGCUCCAAUAGCGUAUAUUAAAGUUGUUGCAGUUAAAACGCUCGUAGUCGGAUUUCGGGGCGGGGCCGCCGGUCUGCCGAUGGGUAUGCACUGGCGGUCGCGUCCUUCCUUCCGGAGACUGGCCCUACUCUUAACUGAGCGGGGUCGGGAGACGGAUCGUUACUUUGAAAAAAUCAGAGUGUUUCAAGCAGGCAGCUCGCUCUUGCAUGGAUUAGCAUGGGAUAAUGAAAUGGGACUUUGGUGCUAUUUUGUUGGUUUCGAACACCGAAGUAAUGAUUAACAGGGACAGUCAGGGGCACUCGUAUUCC
rnacentral:rRNA from 1 species